UACGUAGGGUGCAAGCGUUAAUCGGAAUUACUGGGCGUAAAGCGUGCGCAGGCGGUUAUGUAAGACAGGUGUGAAAUCCCCGGGCUAACCUGGGAACUGCAUUUGUGACUGCAUAGCUAGAGUACGGUAGAGGGGGAUGGAAUUCCGCGUGUAGCAGUGAAAUGCGUAGAUAUGCGGAGGAACACCGAUGGCGAAGGCAAUCCCCUGGACCUGUACUGACGCUCAUGCACGAAAGGCGUGGGGAGCAAACAGG
rnacentral:rRNA from 1 species